CCUUCCUCCAGGAGUCUCUGGUGCAGCUGGGGUGGAAUCUGGCCAGGCCCUGCUUAGGCCCCCAUCCUGGGGUCAGGAAAUUUGGAGGAUAAGGCCCUUCAGCCCCAAGGUCAGCAGGGACGAGCGGGCAGACUGGCGGGUGUACAGGAGGGCUGGGUUGACCUGUCCUUGGUCACUGAGGCCAUUGGAUCUUCCUCCAGUGGCUGCCAGGAUUUCUGGUGGAAGAGACAGGAAGGCCUCCCCCCCUUGGUCGGGUCAGCCUGGGGGCUGAGGGCCUGGCUGUCAGCCACUCUUCCCAGAACAUAUGUCAUGGCCUCAGUGGCUCAUGGGGAAGCAGGGGUGGGCGAGCUUAGGCUAGAGCAAGUCCUGUGGGAGAUGGCAGAGGCCUGGUCUGAGAGGCAACUCGGAUGUGCCCUCCAGUGGCCAUGCUCCCCUCCAUGCGUCUCCCCUGCCCUCCUGGAGCCCUGCAGGUCAAUGUUUAACAGAAACCAGAGCAGCGGUGGAUUAAUGCGCAAGGGCUCAGCCCCCCAGCCCUGAGCAGUGGGGGAAUCGGAGACUUUGCAACCUGUUCUCAGCUCUGCCUCCCCUGGCCAGGUUGUCCUCGACCAGUCCCGUGCCAUGGCAGCCCACCUGCUUCCCAUCUGCGCCCUCUUCCUGACCUUACUCGAUAUGGCCCAAGGCUUUAGGGGCCCCUUGCUACCCAACCGGCCCUUCACCACCGUCUGGAAUGCAAACACCCAGUGGUGCCUGGAGAGGCACGGUGUGGACGUGGAUGUCAGUGUCUUCGAUGUGGUAGCCAACCCAGGGCAGACCUUCCGCGGCCCUGACAUGACAAUUUUCUAUAGCUCCCAGCUGGGCACCUACCCCUACUACACGCCCACUGGGGAGCCUGUGUUUGGUGGUCUGCCCCAGAAUGCCAGCCUGAUUGCCCACCUGGCCCGCACAUUCCAGGACAUCCUGGCUGCCAUACCUGCUCCUGACUUCUCAGGGCUGGCAGUCAUCGACUGGGAGGCAUGGCGCCCACGCUGGGCCUUCAACUGGGACACCAAGGACAUUUACCGGCAGCGCUCACGGGCACUGGUACAGGCACAGCACCCUGAUUGGCCAGCUCCUCAGGUGGAGGCAGUAGCCCAGGACCAGUUCCAGGGAGCUGCACGGGCCUGGAUGGCAGGCACCCUCCAGCUGGGGCGGGCACUGCGUCCUCGCGGCCUCUGGGGCUUCUAUGGCUUCCCUGACUGCUACAACUAUGACUUUCUAAGCCCCAACUACACCGGCCAGUGCCCAUCAGGCAUCCGUGCCCAAAAUGACCAGCUAGGGUGGCUGUGGGGCCAGAGCCGUGCCCUCUAUCCCAGCAUCUACAUGCCCGCAGUGCUGGAGGGCACAGGGAAGUCACAGAUGUAUGUGCAACACCGUGUGGCCGAGGCAUUCCGUGUGGCUGUGGCUGCUGGUGACCCCAAUCUGCCGGUGCUGCCCUAUGUCCAGAUCUUCUAUGACACGACAAACCACUUUCUGCCCCUGGAUGAGCUGGAGCACAGCCUGGGGGAGAGUGCGGCCCAGGGGGCAGCUGGAGUGGUGCUCUGGGUGAGCUGGGAAAAUACAAGAACCAAGGAAUCAUGUCAGGCCAUCAAGGAGUAUAUGGACACUACACUGGGGCCCUUCAUCCUGAACGUGACCAGUGGGGCCCUUCUCUGCAGUCAAGCCCUGUGCUCCGGCCAUGGCCGCUGUGUCCGCCGCACCAGCCACCCCAAAGCCCUCCUCCUCCUUAACCCUGCCAGUUUCUCCAUCCAGCUCACGCCUGGUGGUGGGCCCCUGAGCCUGCGGGGUGCCCUCUCACUUGAAGAUCAGGCACAGAUGGCUGUGGAGUUCAAAUGUCGAUGCUACCCUGGCUGGCAGGCACCGUGGUGUGAGCGGAAGAGCAUGUGGUGAUUGGCCACACACUGAGUUGCACAUAUUGAGAACCUAAUGCACUCUGGGUCUGGCCAGGGCUUCCUCAAAUACAUGCACAGUCAUACAAGUCAUGGUCACAGUAAAGAGUACACUCAGCCACUGUCACAGGCAUAUUCCCUGCACACACAUGCAUACUUACAGACUGGAAUAGUGGCAUAAGGAGUUAGAACCACAGCAGACACCAUUCAUUCCAUGUCCAUAUGCAUCUACUUGGCAAGGUCAUAGACAAUUCCUCCAGAGACACUGAGCCAGUCUUUGAACUGCAGCAAUCACAAAGGCUGACAUUCACUGAGUGCCUACUCUUUGCCAAUCCCCGUGCUAAGCGUUUUAUGUGGACUUAUUCAUUCCUCACAAUGAGGCUAUGAGGAAACUGAGUCACUCACAUUGAGAGUAAGCACGUUGCCCAAGGUUGCACAGCAAGAAAAGGGAGAAGUUGAGAUUCAAACCCAGGCUGUCUAGCUCCGGGGGUACAGCCCUUGCACUCCUACUGAGUUUGUGGUAACCAGCCCUGCACGACCCCUGAAUCUGCUGAGAGGCACCAGUCCAGCAAAUAAAGCAGUCAUGAUUUA